rnacentral:sRNA from 1 species
AGACGAUGUCCCGCAGUUGCUGAGGCUGG